rnacentral:rRNA from 1 species
AUACGGAGGCUCCGAGCGUUAUCCGGAUUUAUUGGGUUUAAAGGGUGCGCAGGCGGCCAUUUAAGUCAGCGGUUAAAUCGUGGGGCUCAACCCCAUUCUGCCGUUGAUACUGGGUGGCUUGAUUGCGGUCGAGGUUGGCGGAAUUCGUUGUGUAGCGGUGAAAUGCAUAGAUAUGACGAAGAACACCGAUUGCGUAGGCAGCUGACCAGACCGCAAAUGACGCUCAUGCACGAAAGUGCGGGGAUCGAACAGGAUUAGAUACCCUGGUAGUCCGCACAGUAAACGAUGAAUACUUGUUUUCGGCGAUAUAAUGUCGGAGGCAAAGCGAAAGCGAUAAGUAUUCCACCUGGGGAGUACGCCGGCAACGGUGAAACUCAAAUGAAUUGGCGGGG